rnacentral:lncRNA from 1 species
UUUCCUUCCUUCCUUCCUUCCUUCCUUGUUCCUUGCUUCCUUCCUUCCUUGCUUCCUUGCUUCCUUCCUUCCUUUCUCUCUCUCUCUCUCUCUCUCUCUCUCUCUCUCUCUCUCUCUCUCUCUCUCUUUCUUUCUUUCUUUCUUUUUUCCUGUUUUUUUUUUUGAGACUGUUUCUCUCUGUAUAGCAGCAGUCCUGACUGUCCUGGAACUCCCUUUGUAGACCAGGCUGGCCUCAAACUCAGAGAGAUGAGCCUGCCUCUGCCUCCUGAGUGCUGGGAUUAAAGGCGUGCACCACCAUACCUGGCAACUUCUGUUUCUAUGUACAUGUUGUGAUAUAUUCUUUUCGUUAAUAUAGUUUUAAAUAUAUAACUUACAAACGUGGUGUGUGUGUUUCUGAUACUUGUAAACAGAGCGCAUGCUUUUGGGACCAGUAAACCAAAGCUGAAUCUACGGCUGCAGUGGCUUGGUGUCUCUCUCUGAUGCAACCUCCCAGAGGGACCCUAAUGGCUUUUCUCAGAGGGAAUAAAGAAUCCGUGAGUUGGCACUUGCUUUAAGUGGUUUAAUAUUCUCUGUGUGUUUUACCUUCCUACAGAGUAAAAACCAGGUUCAUCGUAGGGGUGAAUACAAUGUUUACAGCACAUUCCAGAGCCAUGAACCCGAGUUCGAUUACCUGAAAAGUUUAGAAAUAGAAGAAAAAAUCAAUAAGAUAAGAUGGCUCCCUCAACAAAACGCAGCUUACUUUCUUCUGUCUACCAACGGUAUGUGGAGGAGAGUUUUAUUUGUUUUGUUUUGUUUUGUUUUUCCCCUAUUUGAUAUUUUCAAAGACAGUCCUGACCUGUAAUUUUCCCUUAGCCUCUGUGUUCCUUUGUCCCUUGUGAGAGCUUGUGAAAAACUUAGAUUCCCUGUUUGUAAGAUGCUUAGCAGAAUUCAUGGUGCACACAGAAUUUGGAUUCAGUAAAUAGUAGCUAUUCAGUUUCUAAAUAUCGAAUUUAUGACCCAGUUUUGUGGAGCCCGUUAUCGACAGUUUCUUAAUGUAGAUUGCUUGCAGGUGUUUGUGGAGUGUGACUUCCUGUCUUAAGAUUCAUUGCAUGUUAUUCUGGGGAAGCAUUUCAAGAAACUCGACAUGCUGUUGGCAUUUGGAAAAAUAGUUAUUAAUCCCUGAGUAUAUUUUCGGGUCUGCAAAGCAGAUGUCUGUGUAUCUGAGAAAAUCAAGUUCUGAGCCGCAAGCACAAGACCAGAGGAGUUGGAGAUGCUCCCAAAAGCUGAUCAAGAAGCAGGCUCUUUAUCUGCCUUCAAACUCUCUGUGUCCUUUAUGUUGAUAUAAAUUGAUAUGAAUAGAGAAGAGAGGAUAGGUUACUGGCAGGUGACUAAAGCCUGCUCAUAUAUUCACUCCAUGAAGGAAGCUGAUGAUACCCCAAGAAUUUAACCUCUCUCUGGAGAGAAAAAAAAAAGCCAGUUUGGAAGUCAGUCCCUACUGAAGAAUGCUAAUGGCAAAUGGUAACCAGAGGAUUCAGAGAGGAAAACAAAAGACCAAGGAAAGGAGACGAAGAGUGACUCAUCAUCACGUGUGGAAAUGUGGUUUAAGAAUGAUAUAUCAAGAACAGAAAAAUGGAGACAAUGUCUACAAUAAAAUCAAGCAAAUAUUCCUUGUUAAAGACGAGAAAGAUGCACAGCAAACAGCUUCCCAUUACUAAGUCUUGACUGUGCGUUGUAGGUCACUUGUAACUUUGUUCCUUUUAUCAUUUUAAUUUUGAAAGUGUAUACAGUGAGUCAUAGAUCAAUAUUAUAGGAGAGAGAGAGAAUGUAAUUCAGAUGGUCACCAAAUCCCUCAAAUAUAAAGACAGUGUACAGAUCUGAAAAUAUGAUAAUUCUAGAUGAGCUAUUUGGGAGUUAUUCAAGCAAACCUCAAUAUGACCAGGUCUCUAUUCAUCUGGUGUUUUGUUUUGUUUUCUUUUCUUUUUUGGUUUUUUGGGGUUUUUUUGUUUGUUUAUUUUAAGAUUCCAGUUAAUGUCAUUCCUUCCUGUAGCUGCUUUGUUCUGUUCUGUUGUCUUGUUUACUCUUUGCAGCCCUGAUCUUUUGGAGGCCAAACCACUGCACUUCACUUCCAUGUAUUCUUUGUGUUUGCUUUCUGUUCAUAUCUCACGCAAAGACUUUGUUGCUUCAUACUACUCAGAGUGGAAGUUUUAAUGUGGUAGUUUUAAUGUAAUUACUUCAGUCGCAGAGAAGUGUCUGAUUGUCUUCCAUAGCUAGAUUACAUUAUAUUAUGAAAUUUAGCCUAUUGAUUAUUGCAGUAAAAAUCCAAAGGCUUAUUAAGUACUUUGUAGGGGGGAUGGGAAAGAAAGUGAAAUUCAAUGAAGAUUAAUUAUAUAGCAUAAUGUUCUGUUAAUUGAGUUUUUAAAUAGUUUUUUGAUUAACAAGGAUAUUAUCUUCCCAUUUGGGAUGCUAUUUCACAUGUCAACUGCAUCUCAAAUAGACUUUUCUAAGGAAAAUUCCCAUGUUCUUAUGCAGUCUUCUUUUCUAUACUAAUAUUGAGGUUCAAAAUCCAUGCAUACCCCCAUGCCAAAUAGGUUAACAUUCAAAAAUUAAUGGAGGACAAUGGGAAUGACUAUAUAAAAGAGAACAUGAAGAUAAAUGAUAAUGUUGUGUUUUAAGCUGCCACACGUGAUGAUAAACUACCCAGAGAACAAGCC